AGUGAACGCUGGCGGUAGGCCUAACACAUGCAAGUCGAACGGCAGCACAGUAAGAGCUUGCUCUUACGGGUGGCGAGUGGCGGACGGGUGAGGAAUACAUCGGAAUCUACUUUUUCGUGGGGGAUAACGUAGGGAAACUUACGCUAAUACCGCAUACGACCUACGGGUGAAAGCAGGGGAUCUUCGGACCUUGCGCGAUUGAAUGAGCCGAUGUCGGAUUAGCUAGUUGGCGGGGUAAAGGCCCACCAAGGCGACGAUCCGUAGCUGGUCUGAGGGGAUGAUCAGCCACACUGGAACUGAGACACGGUCCAGACUCCUACGGGAGGCAGCAGUGGGGAAUAUUGGACAAUGGGCGCAAGCCUGAUCCAGCCAUACCGCGUGGGUGAAGAAGGCCUUCGGGUUGUAAAGCCCUUUUGUUGGGAAAGAAAAGCAGAAGGUUAAUACCCCGCCGUUCUGACGGUACCCAAAGAAUAAGCACCGGCUAACUUCGUG
rnacentral:rRNA from 1 species